rnacentral:rRNA from 1 species
UACGUAGGGUGCGAGCGUUAAUCGGAAUUACUGGGCGUAAAGCGUGCGCAGGCGGUUUUGUAAGUCAGAUGUGAAAUCCCCGGGCUUAACCUGGGAAUGGCAUUUGGGACUGCAAGGCUUGAGUGCGGCAGAGGAGACUGGAAUUCCUGGUGUAGCAGUGAAAUGCGUAGAUAUCAGGAGGAACACCGGUGGCGAAGGCGGCUCACUGGCUCAUUACUGACGCUCAGGCGCGACAGCGUGGGGAUCAAACAGG